UGUACAACACAGAGAAAAUUUGUUGACAGGACAGUGUGUUCAAAUUCCUGUGGCAAAACCUCCUGAAAGACAGACACGACUCCAGAGUCCUGCCCUCCUUUUUCUGUCUGCUGUGAACCAUGUAAGACUUAGGACACUGAGUGACUGACAGCAGAGUGAGACAGAGCAAGAGAAAAGAGCAGCAACACUCAGCAUAAGACUACUUUGACUAAAAUGUCCGGACGAGGACGAGGAGCAAUGGACUUU